rnacentral:RNase_P_RNA from 1 species
AGGUGACUAGGCGAUCGCGUGCCAUUAGGGCAUGAGGAAAGUCCGAGCACCACAGGGCAUGGGUGCCGGUUAACGGCCGGUGGAGGCGACUCCAAGGAGAGUGCAACAGAGAUAUACCGCCAGCGCUUGCGCUGGUAAGGCUGGAAAGGCGAGGUAAGAGCUCACCCGCGGCUUGGCGACUUGUCCGCGAUGUAAACCCCACCCGGUGCAAGGUCGGAAUGGAAGCACAUGCGGCGGCCCGUCGCGCUUCUUACGACCGCUUGAACCUGCGCGGUAACGUCAGGUCUGGAUAGAUGAUCGUCCACGACAGAACUCGGCUUAUCGGUCA